GCAAUGACGUGCGAGGGGCGGCGGUGACACGUAGGGGCCAAGGGUUGGCCGGAGUUAUUGGGCGUAAAGGGCUCGUAGGCGGGUCGGUAAGUCAGGUGUGAAACCUCCAGGCUCAACCUGGAGACGCCACCUGAUACUGCUGUGGCUAGAGUCCGGUAGGGGAGCGUGGAAUUCCUGGUGUAGCGGUGAAAUGCGCAGAUAUCAGGAGGAACACCAGCGGCGAAGGCGGCGCUCUGGGCCGGAACUGACGCUGAGGAGCGAAAGCGUGGGUAGCAAACAGGAUUAGAUACCCGUGUAGUC
rnacentral:rRNA from 1 species